CUGAACCAGCCAAGUAGCGUGAAGGAUGACUGCCCUAUGGGUUGUAAACUUCUUUUCUAAAGGAAUAAAGUCGGGUAUGGAUACCCGUUUGCAUGUACUUUAUGAAUAAGGAUCGGCUAACUCCGUGCCAGCAGCCGCGGUAAUACGGAGGAUCCGAGCGUUAUCCGGAUUUAUUGGGUUUAAAGGGAGCGUAGAUGGAUGUUUAAGUCAGUUGUGAAAGUUUGCGG
rnacentral:rRNA from 1 species